UACGAAGGGGGCUAGCGUUGCUCGGAAUUACUGGGCGUAAAGGGCGCGUAGGCGGAUAUCUAAGUUGGGGGUGAAAUCCCGGGGCUCAACCUCGGAAUUGCCUUUCAAAACUGGGUAUCUUGAGUUCGGGAGAGGUGAGUGGAACUCCGAGUGUAGAGGUGAAAUUCGUAGAUAUUCGGAAGAACACCAGUGGCGAAGGCGACUCACUGGCCCGAUACUGACGCUGAGGCGCGAAAGCGUGGGGAGCAAACAGGG
rnacentral:rRNA from 1 species